UCUGGUGCGUUUCACUUAAAAGGGAACCGGACAGUACAUUAGUUUGUGUACUGCUUUGUUGGUUAAAGACUUUUUGAAGUAAAGAGGAGCAUCUCAUCUGAACCUGAUGUAUAUCAUGGAUAUUUAACUGCAGUUCUGUGAGUAUCCCAACUUAACCAUGAAGCAUAACUGCAAACUGUAAGUCAUUAAUUUCUCAUUACUCUUGGGCACAUUGAUGUAUUUUGGCUUCCUGGUGAGUUAACCUGUUAAAUGAAGGUUGACCUGAGUUGUAAGGAUGUUUUAUUGGUUCAUGGGUUACUUAGGUGUUUGGUUUAUGUUGGUUUUAAUGAUUUGAUAAACUGGUUACAGACUCCAAGUUAUUGUUGUAAGCUGGAGUAAUGGGUUGGGUUCUGAUAUCUUCAGUCUUCUUUCAUUCUACUCUCCUGAGCUCUGCAUCUUCAUCACAUGAGUGUUGCUUUACUAAUGAGGUUGUGGUCUGAGUGAGCAGAGGUGCAUACUGGGAUACAGAGCUGUCUGAAGUCUACAGGUCUGUAGACACGCCCCCUCAGGGGAAACCGAGUGUUUGAGAAACGUUGGUGACGUCAGUUACAUGGACUGGAAUGUUCUUAAAGAUGGAGACAGGGAUCCAGAAAGAGAAAAAUCAGGGGGAGAUGAGGGGGCUCCUCAUCUCAACGACUAAAACACAACUUCACUCUGACAUAGAGAACCAUGGAACACAUUCAACAGUCCUCUCCAGGCAUCGUGACUCCUCAGGAACAGUUUAAUUUCCAAGAAGGUCUUAUUUGGGGCCAUCCCCAUAUGGAUCCUGCUCCUCAAGAGCCACCCCCCUCCACUGGGUGGUCUUCUGAACAGAUGACCUCCUUCCUGUCCGCAGGCUGACUAAAGCUGCAACGUUUGCAUCUGUGAAGGCCCCGCUUUCAGGAAACCACUGGACUACAAAGACAUGACUUCAGAGAUGUUGAAUCAACCUGGGACACAUUUUUGGAGACGCCAAGCAUAAUCCAUCACCAAUGUGGGACGCCACUGAAGAAUGUUGUACAUAAUUUACGUCUCUUCGAGACAUUGGUUGUUCUGUUAUGGGUGCCCUGGCAGGAGCGCUGGGGGGGGGGUGAUGGAAUGCUAUUUGGCAUCAGGGUUUUUACCCUGUAUGAUUGUUUGGACUUUUAUGGCUCUGUGGUGUGUGUGUUUGGGUUUGACAUGAGAUGGAAGAUUUUUGAGCAUUGCUAGGGUUCUACUGUGUGUGUGUGUGUGUCUCCCACUCACACCUGGCAUGGGGUUCUACGUGCCUGUCCUGGAUUCUAUGUGUGUGUGUGUGUGUGUGUGUGUGUGUGUGUGUGUCCGGCUUGCUUUGACAGCGAUAAUGUUCAUACGGGGGUCUGUGUGAUUGGCUUGGGAUAUUGGAAUGGUCAACUAAAUCAUACCUGAUGGACGGCCACACGUUUACUUAAGGGCCUCCAGUAGACAUGAAGAGCCCUGAGCGACGCUCCGGAGCGAUAUCCAACACACUGGGCAGGAAGGAGAGUAUCCAACUCAAGUGUAAAAGGAUGCAAGCGGCGUGUUCAGAUCAGUGACUUCAAACUAGGACUACACCAAUCAGGAUCAAUGGAGGAUGGACACCAAAAGGAAUUCCACAAGGAGAGUCUGACGUUGGAAAGGGACCUAAAUGGAUAUUCAAGAUGACCUUCAGACCUGUAAUGAGACGGCUCUUCCUACUUGGCUGGAUUGAUGGAGAGCCCUGUGGAUCUUGUCUUGCUCUCAGUUGCACGUCUUCUCAGGCUGAACUGUAUUUGUUUCGGACAGGACAAGUUGAACGAUUGGUUCCCUUAAAUCAGAACCAAUCCGGGAACUCCAGCUAGUGCGCUCUUCGAGCUGAAGUUGUGCUCUUCAGCUGAGGAGGUAAUGAAACCUUCACUGGGGCUUCAAGUUGUAAAGAGGAGAAUGUUUCAAAGUGUUCCAUGGUACUCUGAAGACCGUUGUUGUGUUCCACUGGCUGAGAGAAAGAACCCACACAUCUUCCUCUUGGCCUUUCUCCUCUGAGAAUCCUGGCGCCAUCUUGAAGGAUAUUCCAGCUCAUGUAACUGAUGUCACGACAGAUUCUCAAACACUUGGUUUCUCCUGAGGGGUGUGUCUAUGGAACUGAAGACCUCAGACAGCACUGUAUCCCAGCAUGCAUCUCUGCUCACUCAGACCACACCCCAUGAGUAGGAUGCAACACUAGUGAUGGAGAUGUAGAGUUCUAUAAGUAACGAGGGAGCAGACUAAGGUGAUUGGAACACAAUGGAAUGUCAAGUUUGUAAAUCUAUAAACAAUGAAGAUGGUUGCAUAGUUCAGGAUGUGGCUUAUUUUUAUUAUGGACAGUCCUUUCACUCGGAUGCCCACUUCUCACUGGAGCUGUACAUGUGUUGGCUGGCUGGCAUGAUUUGCUGUUGGUGAUGAGGCGGUCAGGGUGACGUUGCAGGGCUAUGGUCGGCUCUCUGUGAGCUCAACGUUUAGAUUUGCUCUGUAUGUUUGUACCCUGAAUAAUCUAGAUAAUUGUAAAAUGUAGACACGGUUUUGUAUUGAAUGAUUCUAGGAUUUUAGUUUUAAAGUUGUCGUGGGACGUACAUGGUAGUUUGUUUUCUUCGUAUGGUUUUGAGUGAUAACUUGUACACACUGGGUGCAUAAUAAUGUGGAGGUACACUGAAUAGUACUAAUGACCAACAGCAACAAACAGAUCUCCUCAAGGUAAGUCUGUUGGCUGUGUUUUAAUGAAGACCAUCGCUGGACUUCAGGAUCUUCCUCCGUUCAGCUCAAGGUGAGGCGCUGGUUCUGUUUUUUUCUUUGGUUGGUUCCGGCCGGAAUGUUCGGAUUCCAGUCGGACGGUUUGUGCUUCCCGCCGUGGAAGGUUCUGAGUGCGGUCACUUGAUUUAGUCCCAAUGGUUAGCAUAGAACGUUGUAGUCUUGACAACCAUAAGAAACCACCUGGCAGUUAGUUGGACGGGAGUCCCCUGAGGGAAUCUGGCGGAACGUUCUGGAUUGUAUUUGCGUAACCUCGAGCCGUUGCCAACGGAAACUUUUUUUUUUGUCUGUUUCCAUCGGGAAUUGUUGCCCCUAUCUUAAACAACUUAAGUUUGAUAUUAAAUACAUACUGACACGUACGUCGUACAAUAUGUUGAUUUCCGAUGGUUGCGCCGUAUUUUUAACCAUGAUGACGUGAUGGGACUCUCACUGCGUACAAAACAGCGUUCUACUUGCGGGCCCAUUUUUGACAUCAGGGAAGGCUGAAAAUCAUUUCAAGGAGGAAGAUAAUUUGACAUUUCUUCAACGGAACCCAGCACCUGAAUAUGGCUGAGUAUAUUUGAUUUAAUAUCGAUACUGCUUAGUGUUCUUUGUUACUUCAGCUUUUGUACGUUCUAAAUAUCUGCUGUCAUUAAUUGCUACAGAAGUUAAACCCUACCCAAUGGAAUAACGACUUUGGUGCAGAGUUACCAACUAGAUAAUAUCAAAGCUAAAAUAAUGGCCGUCAUUCCCACAUGUUACAGUAGAAGAUACUCUAGAACUGUACAAGGUUAAAGAGGUAACAUGUAGUUUGUCCCAAGGUGUCUGCCUCCUCACCUAGAGUAAGACCUCCACCUCUUCACCCGGAGCCAGACCUCCACCUUCUGUCAGAAGUCCUCCAGAACAGAUGAGAGGCUGGGGACCGGAGGCUUGUGGUGCCAGGGUGGACCGGAGACUGAGGCUGGAGACCAGGGGUCUGCAGCACCGGACCAGAGGACCAGGACUCUGUCUGAGGAGAGCUGCUGGAGGAGCUGAGACGCUGGAGGACGACUAGGAAUCGGCCAACAAGGAUUCCUCAACGUGUUUCUGGAGCGGAGGCGAGCUGGUAGGGGAGCCGUGAAUCUGGAGGAUGACCAUCACUCUACCAACAAGGAUUGUAAGUUUGUAUUAACCAAAAAAACUGGAAAUAAAGGGCUUAAGGUUUUAGUUUUAAAGUUGUCGUGGGACGUACAUGGCAGUUUGUUUUCUUCGUAUGGUUUUGAGUGAUAUAACUUGUACACACUGGGUGCAUAAUAAUGUGAAGGUACACUGAAUAGUACUAAUGACCAACAGCAACAAACAGAUCUCCUCAAGGUAAGUCUGUUGGCUGUGUUUUAAUGAAGACCAUCGCUGGACUUCAGGAUCUUCCUCCGUUCAGCUCAAGGUGAGGCGCUGGUUCUGUUUUUUUUCUUUGGUUGGUUCCGGCCGGAAUGUUCGGAUUCCUGUCGGACGGUUUGUGCUUCCCGCCGUGGAAGGUUCUGAGUGCGGUCACUUGAUUUAGUCCCAAUGGUUAGCAUAGAACGUUGUAGUCUUGACAACCAUAAGAAACCACCUGGCAGUUAGUUGGACGGGAGUCCCCUGAGGGAAUCUGGCGGAACGUUUUGGAUUGUAUUUGCGUAACCUCGAGCCGUUGCCAACGGAAACUAUUUUUCAGUCGGUUUCCAUCGGGAAUUGUUGCCCCUAUCUUAAACAACUUAAGUUUGAUAUUAAAUACAUACUGACACGUACGUCGUACAAUAUGUUGAUUUCCGAUGGUUGCGCCGUAUUUUUAACCACGAUGACGUGAUGGGACUCUCACUGCGUACAAAACGGCAUUCUACUUGCGGGCCCAUUUUUGACAUCAGGGAAGGCUGAAAAUCAUUUCAAGGAGGAAGAUAAUUUGACAUUUCUUCAACGGAAUCCAGCACCUGAAUAUGGCUGAGUAUAUUUGAUUUAAUAUCGAUGCUGCUUAGUGUUCUUUGUUACUUCAGCUUUUGUACGUUCUAAAUAUUUGCUGUCAUUAAUUGCUACAGAAGUUAAACCCUACCCAAUGGAAUGACGUUAAACAACGACUUUGGUGCAGAGUUACCAUCUAGAUAAUAUCAAAGCUAAAAUAAUGGCCGUCAUUCCCACAUGUUACAGUAGAAGAUACUCUAGAACUGUACAAGGUUAAAAAGGUAACAUGUAGUUUGUCCCAAGGUGUCUGCCUCCUCACCUAGAGUAAGACCUCCACCUCUUCAUCCGGAGCCAGACCUCCACCUUCUGUCAGAAGUCCUCCAGAACAGAUGAGAGGCUGGGGACCGGAGGCUUGUGGUGCCAGGGUGGACCGGAGACUGAGGCUGGAGACCAGGGGUCUGCAGCACCGGACCAGAGGAGUUUAGGGCCAGACUCUCGCUGUUUGUUCGAGACCAGGACUCUGGCUGAGGAGAGCUGAUGGAGGAGCCAAGACUCGAGCCAAGAGGACAACAUCACUCCACCAACGAGGAUCCUCACCAGGAAUCUGGAGGACUGAUGGAGAAGCCGUACAUCUGGAAGGCAAAUCCUGAGGACCACCAGGACUCUAUCAUCAAGGAUUCCUAAGUUUGCAUUAUCUGGACAUAGUGGACUAGACACUGCUGAGCUGAACCUCACCUGAUCAUGUUUGGUCGGGGGUAGACACACCUGAGCUAAACCCGCCCUGAUCCUGACAUCCUGCUGGUCCCGUCUCCUCAGUUCAUAUGAGCCUCGUCCUCCAGAAGACCUGCUGAGCUCAGCAGUCUGAGGCUGAUGGAUCAAUGACCUCCAGUGGGAGUGAUCUUCUUGACCCCACAUGUAACCGUGUGCUUCCACACGCCUUUCCCUCACGUCUGUCACUAACCUCACUACUUCACUACUCUCUACUGCUUCCUCUUUUCUUCCUUCUCUGUGGUUCAAACCUUUACACUGAAGGCGCGUCUUCCUGCCCUCAGAGGGUUUAGCGUUAGGGUUGAGAGUCAGGGUUUAGAGUCAGGGACAGAGCUGGUCAGGGAGGACUGCUUUUACACAAACCUCUUCACUUGCUUUCGGAACGGUGGUGACAUUUUGAAAAGAUUGAUUUGGGAAAAUGUUUCCCUCUGCUGAGUCCUGGUCUGUUUGUUCCAGACCAGGACUCUGGCUGAGGAGAGCUGAUGGAGGAGCCAAGACUCGAGCCAAGAGGACAACAUCACUCCACCAACCAGGAUCCUCACCAGGAAUCUGGAGGACUGAUGGAGAAGCCGUACAUCUGGAAGGCAAAUCCUGAGGACCACCAGGACUCUACCAUCAAGGAUUCCUAAGUUUGCGUUAUCUGGACAUAGUGGACUAGACACACCUGAGCUGAACCUCACCUGAUCCUGUUUGGUCGGGGGUAGACAUACCUGAGCUAAACCCGCCCUGAUCCUGACAUCCUGCUGGUCCCGUCUCCUCAGUUCAUAUGAGCCUCGUCCUCCAGAAGACCUGCUGAGCUCAGCAGUCUGAGGCUGAUGGAUCAAUGACCUCCAGUGGGAGUGAUCUUCUUGACCCCACAUGUAACCGUGUGCUUCCACACGCCUUUCCCUCACGUCUGUCACUAACCUCACUACUUCACUACUCUCUACUGCUUCCUCUUUUCUUCCUUCUCUGUGGUUCAAACCUUUACACGGAAGGCGCGUCUUCCUGCCCUCAGAGGGUUUAGCGUUAGGGUUGAGAGUCAGGGUUUAGAGUCAGGGACAGAGCUGGUCAGGGAGGACUGCUUUUACACAAACCUCUUCACUUGCUUUCGGAACGGUGGUGACAUUUUGAAAAGAUUCAUUUGGGAAGAUGUUUCCCUCUGCUUUCCUUUACAAAAUUGUAUUCAACUUCUGUCAAGUGUUUUGGUUUAUAUAUUAAAAUCCCACAUUGACUUCUACAUGUUUGGUGCGGUUCAUUUAAUUGUCCUUUUAACUUGGUUAAUGUCAAGCUAAACUCCUAAUACAUUUAACAUACAUGAUUGUUAUUCAGCAAUGUUCACAUAAUCCAUUUUGUAAAAAUAUGACGC
ensembl:lncRNA